AACGUCGCCAUUUCCCAUUUGCCUUUGAGACAGUGGACGGAAUUGUUUUGCCGCUUCAUGGCGGUGUUUUUCGCUUUUACAUUUUAAAGAUGAUGAGAUAUUUCCACGCCAUUCGACCAAGCUGAAUCGAAAGUGAACAAUUCUAAAGCAACAUGUCGAAGUUCUUCUUGCCUUUCUCCACGUGAUCACUGCUGUGUCAUGAAGAUGCUUCUUUGAGAGGGUCAUGUCAUAUGCCAUAUUGCAAGACAAAAAAAUUUGAUGAAAAGUGGAAAUCUGAAAAGGAUUCCAUGGUCAGUUUGGUGUUGCUGUUUGUUGUGCAGUGGUCUUGCUGCCCUUUUCCAGUUAAGAGAUACACUUAAAUGAAGCUUGUGCAGACUUGAAGUUAAACAUCAUACUUCAAUGUAUUAUAAUGCAUAUGCAGCACUGGGCCAAAUUGUUUGAGGACGUUGCCUGAUGGCCGUUGAUUUUGCAGAUGUCUUCACUUGCUGCCUGUACUGGCUGUACGCCUCAUGCCAAAGCAAAAAUUUUAAUUCAUCUGUUAGAGUCCGAACUAAUUCAUUGCUAUCCUACUGCAUAUGGUGUUUUGUUGCAGCUAGCUGGUGAAAGGCGUGACCAAUUAAAGUUGAGCUGCUGCAUGCUGGCUGUGGUGCCGUUGUUAUAAUAUUGUAACUGUUGCACCAAGUUUGAAUGUUGAUUGCAUGGUUGUUGAUAUAAUGGUUCCCACUGUCUGUGUUAUAAGGUCCCAUAAGGCAGCUGAUUUUUUUGUGAUCUUUGGUUACUGCGACAGCCCCGCGACCUGGUGUUGGAAGGGUGGAAGCUUACACUGAAACAACACAGAAAUUUUCUAAGUCCCUCGUAAACAAAUCAGAGCUAUGCGUACUUUGCGGCUUUGCGCAUCCGUUAAACAGAUUGAUUGACGAUUUUCUAAUUAAGAUUAAUUUCAGAUGAUAACAAUAGAUUUCAUUGGUUCAAUUUAUAACUUGUAAUGUGUAUUAACAUACAUACAAUUUACAUUUAGAAAAAAAAAAUUAAGCAAGUUUUGCCAUCUUGAAAUUUUGUCGCACGUUACUAUCAACUUCUGCCAAAUUACGUUCUUGAAAACGCUUUGAUUCAAAAUGAUAUCUAACUUGUACGAAUUCCAUUAUUAAAUAAGGAUACGAGUCAGCACGGUG